rnacentral:sRNA from 1 species
GGUAAUUCUUUUCUACUCCUUUUUCUAUAUAUAUGUCUCUUUACAAUACAUAUUAUUAUAUUGAAAAUGUUAUAAUAUUUGUAGUAUCUACCAAAUAUAACAUCUAUUUUGUUCAAUGGUAUAUCUAAUUCAAAUUCGUCCUUCAUCCAAACUAGUAAAUUAUCCCAGAUUUCACUCACAUAUUCACAUUCCCAAAAAAGAUGACAAAUAGUUUCUGCAUUACAUCUACAAAAUGUACAUAACUCUGAUUCAACUAUUCCUAUCUUAGAUAAAUAAGUAUUAGUCGCAAUAAUUCGAUGUACAAUCCUGUAUUGAAACCAUCUUAAUUGUACGUCGUUAGUUAUUUUGAAAAAUAAUAAGUUUUGUCUUUUCCACCAUAUGUUAUUUACAUUCAUGUCUAGUUCCUUUUCCCAUUUCAAUUCUGAUUUUGGUUUAUUCCAUUUCUCAUCAAUAAAAAUAUCAUAAAAGUC